rnacentral:rRNA from 1 species
GUGGGGAAUCUUAGACAAUGGGCGCAAGCCUGAUCUAGCCAUGCCGCGUGAGCGAUGAAGGCCUUAGUGUUGUAAAGCUCUUUCGUGGGGGAAGAUAAUGACUGUACCCCAAGAAGAAGCCCCGGCUAACUCCGUGCCAGCAGCCGCGGUAAUACGGAGGGGGCUAGCGUUGUUCGGAAUUACUGGGCGUAAAGCGCACGUAGGCGGACUGGAAAGUCAGGGGUGAAAUCCCGGGGCUCAACCCCGGAACUGCCUUUGAAACUCCCAGUCUUGAGUUCGAGAGAGGUGAGUGGAAUUCCGAGUGUAGAGGUGAAAUUCGUAGAUAUUCGGAGGAACACCAGUGGCGAAGGCGGCUCACUGGCUCGAUACUGACGCUGAGGUGCGAAAGCGUGGGGAGCAAACAGGAUUAGAAACCCCAGUAGUCC